UACAGAGGUCCCAAGCGUUGUUCGGAUUCACUGGGCGUAAAGGGUGCGUAGGUGGCUUGGGAAGUUUGAUGUGAAAGCUCAGGGCUCAACCCUGAAAUGGCAUUGAAUACUAUCGAGCUGGAGGUUUGGAGGGGGGACUGGAAUUCUUGGUGUAGCAGUGAAAUGCGUAGAUAUCGUAAGGAAGACCAGUGGCGAAGGCGAGUCUCUGGACAGUUACUGACGCUGAGGCACGAAGGCCAGGGGAGCAAACGGG
rnacentral:rRNA from 1 species